AAUAAAAUGUCAGAAAAUAUUGUCACAUGUACAUUACAUUAUUUUGAAUUGAAGUUGCAUUUUAAUAAUUGAUAUUGCAGACGAACUAAUGCUCAAACAAGAGCGACUCAACAAAACAGAAGAGCAUCAGAAGACUCUCUCAAGGGAGACAUCCGAAUCUCUGAAAGCGUUUGAAGAUAAAGCAAUGGGGAUUUUAAAAGG